rnacentral:lncRNA from 1 species
GGUGAUACAGAUUUUCCCGGGUUUUCUGACCAGUGAGGAAAGUGAUCCUAGAGAGAGAUCAGUACGAGCACCACCUCUAGUCCCAAUGGGAACAGCAGGUACCUGGGGGUUAGCUGGGUGGGGGGCGGGGUGGGUGGGUGCCUGGUGCAGUGUGUCCAUUAUGAUGGGGGCUCCUGGACACCCCCAUGAUCUCGCUGGAGCCCCACCCAUAGUACUGAUCUCUGGGUGAUUGACCUUGCCAGGGUUACAGCCUUGGCACAAAGUGCCCCAGGCCUAACAGGUGGUGCCGCUUUCUUAGGAGACUCUCCAAGGUAGGUUCCUAGGCCCACCCACACUCUCCCACCCUGGACACUUCUUGGACCUGCUCUGGACCUGUGGCCCUGUGGUCUCAGGUAGGUGACGUGACCCAUGUGGGUUUCCUUGUCUGCAUGAUGGUUGGGUGACGACGCAUCAUGGGUUCCACCAGCUUUUUCCCUCCCAUUGUGAAGGAGGCCACGCCAUACAGCUCCCCACCCCACCCCUGCUCUAUAGCAUCAGCAGGGCCUCACGACUCUGACUCCUUUCUCUGGCCAAGUAGAAGGAUAAGGCCCGCAGGAGUUAACUUCACACAGGUGAUCUGUCUGAGAUCAUGUUGGAGGCCUGGGAGAGCUCCACUUGGCCCAUUUCAUUACAGCCUGCUCGCGUUCACCUGAGAAAGGGGCCCGUUUUCAAAAUCAUGGCUACUUCUCUAAAUCAGCAGACAGCAGCCUGAAGAUCACCCGUAAAUGUCUGCUGCACUGAGGGCUGUUUUGGCUAAUGGAAAAAGGACACCAAGUUGAAGAUCCAUCCAGCCUUUCUGCUUUCAGUGUCCUUGGAGCCAUCAGCAGCUGUGUCCCCCACAAAGCCCUGACACUACUCUGUGUGGUACUACUGAGCCUCCUUAAUGUCCCUCCUUGCUGUGAAAUCUUAGUGCUUCAGCCUCUUCUUGAUGGGUAUCUCACCUUGCCCUUGAAGGAGAGCUUUGCUCAGAAAAUAGAGUCCUGGGAGGUAAGGUGUGGUCUUCACCCUCCAAUAGAACCCACCUAUACUUAAGGGUCUCCAUGUUGCAGGGUCUGCAGAUAUCAGUUAGACUGGGGUCCUGUCUGGGCCAGCAAUGGGCCUCUUAGAAAUACCUUAUCACAGCUGACCUUAGGUUCACGACUGGGCUUCUCUAAGAGGCCUGAUUAAUUCAUGGUGCCCCGUCACCCAUAGCCACCCCGAGACACGAGGAUUUACUGUACCAGUUUAUUGCCAAGCUGUAUUAGUUGAUAAGCAGGAAACUCCAGACCAUCUGUUUAAAAAUAAAAAGUUAACAGCGGCACA